AUUGAACGCUGGCGGCAGGCCUAACACAUGCAAGUCGAGCGGUAGAGAGGUGCUUGCACCUCUUGAGAGCGGCGGACGGGUGAGUAAUGCCUAGGAAUCUGCCUGGUAGUGGGGGAUGACGUCCGGAAACGGACGCUAAUACCGCAUACGUCCUACGGGAGAAAGCAGGGGACCUUCGGGCCUUGCGCUAUCAGAUGAGCCUAGGUCGGAUUAGCUAGUUGGUGAGGUAAUGGCUCACCAAGGCGACGAUCCGUAACUGGUCUGAGAGGAUGAUCAGUCACACUGGAACUGAGACACGGUCCAGACUCCUACGGGAGGCAGCAGUGGGGAAUAUUGGACAAUGGGCGAAAGCCUGAUCCAGCCAUGCCGCGUGUGUGAAGAAGGUCUUCGGAUUGUAAAGCACUUUAAGUUGGGAGGAAGGGUUGUAGAUUAAUACUCUGCAAUUUUGACGUUACCGACAGAAUAAGUACCGGCUAACUCUGUGCCAGCCGCCGCUGUAAUAC
rnacentral:rRNA from 1 species